GGGAGAAAGAAGAAUGACAGAGGGAGGAGGAAGAGAGACUGGGAGAGAAAGAGAGGAGGAUGAAGGAAGAGGAAGACAUGAUUCGUAGAAAAGAGGAGGAGGAAUGGAAGCAGAAGUGUUUGGAGAUGGAGAAAAAGAGGCAGAAGCUAAGACUUCUGGAGGAGGAACAAGAGAAGAUGGAUAGAGAGAGGAGGCUAAUGGAGGAAAAGAAGAGAGGAGAAGAGGAGAAGCUUUCUGAGAUGGAGAGAAAGUUUGAGGAAGAACAAAUUAAGAGAAAGAGAAUGGAGAGAGAGAUGGAGAGGAGAAAGAAAGAAAUUGAAAGAGAAGAAGAAGAGGAGAAGAGGAGGAAGGAGAUUUUUGAGGAAGAGGAGAAGCUUAAGGAGAUGGAGAGAAAGCUUGAGGAAGAACGAACGAAGAGAAAGCUUGAAGAAGAGAGAAUGGAGAAGAGAAAGAAGGAAAUUGAAAGAGAAAAGGAAGAGGAGAAGAAGAGGAGGAAGGAGAUUGAGAACGAGGAAAAGCUUAAGCAGGAGAUAGAGAGGAAGCUUGACGGACAGAGAAUGGAGAGGAGAAAGAAAGAAAUUGAAAGAGAAGAAGAAGAGCAGGAGAAGAGGAGGAAGAAGAUUUUUGAGGACAAUGAGAAGCUUAAGCAGGAGAUGGAGAGAAAGCUUGAAGGAGAGAGAAUAAAGAGAGAGAUGGAGAAGAGAAAAAAGGAAAUUGAAAGAGAAGAAGAGCAGGAGAAGAGGAGGAAGAAGUUUUUUGAGGACAAGGAGAAGCUUAAGCAGGAGAUGGAGAGAAAGCUUGAAGGAGAGAGAAUAAAGAGAGAGAUGGAGAAGAGAAAAAAGGAAAUUGAAAGAGAAGAAGAAGAGCAGGAGAAGAGGAGGAAGAAGAUUUUUGAGGACAAGGAGAAGCUUAAGCAGGAGAUCGAGAGAAAGCUUGAAGGAGAGAGAAUGAAGAGAGAGAUGGAGAAGAGAAAAAAGGAAAUUGAAAGAGAUGAGGAAGAGGAGAAGAAGAGGAGGAAGGAGAUUGAGAACGAGGAGAAGCUUAAGAAGGAUAUGGAUAGAAAGCUUGAAGGAGAGAGAAUGAAGAGAGAGAUGGAGAAGAGAAAAAAGGAAAUUGAAAGAGAAGAACAGGAAGAGAAGCUUAAGAAGGAGAUGGAGAGGAAGCUUCAAGGAGAGAGAAUGCAGAGAGAAAUGGAGAAGAGGAAGAGGGAGAUUGAGAAAGAAGAGAAGGAGCAGGAGAAACAGGACGUUUUGAUCCCACUGGAUCAAACGAAGAAAGAGAGAGUCAUGGAGGAGGAGAAGAAGGAAGAUCCAUCAAGCGAGGAGAAAGAGAUAAUGGUGGGAGAAACAUCAAAAGAGGAAGUGAAGAACAUCGAGGAAAUGAGGAAGCUUCACAUGGAGAAGGAAAAGCAGAGGAAGAAGGAGAUGAUGAAGAGGAUGUUCGCUCCAGGUGGGCUCAUCUUCAGGCCGCAGCAGGAGGAUGAUCAGCGGAGGCCUGUCAGAAGACAGAGGGAGGAUCUGAAGCCCUCCUCAUGCAGUGUUGAGGAGCAUCAGAAGACAGAAGAGGAAACAGAGAAACCACCACGCCCCUGCUGGCCUGUUUCCUCAAACGGAGAAGCAGUGGUCAUCACUGUAAAGCCCCUUCACCCAUUCCCAGAAGAAGAGGGCACUGAACUGGGCACCUCCUCCUCUGGUGCCAGUGCAAAGGGCAGCAUCGGUGGAGAAUUUGAGGAGGUCUUUACUGAGCCGGAUCCCAGUGAAGCAGAAGAUCAGACCUCCCUCAACCAGUCCAACACCUCAACACCAGCUGAUACAACCAGUGAGAUCCAACCCAACAACCAGCAGAAAGGUGUAGUGAACUGGAUCAGCAAGAAACUGCACCAGAGACACGAGAGAGCCAUCGAGAAGAGCAUACAGAGAGAGAAGAAGCACGGCAACAAGUUCUGCUUAGUCAGAAUGCCCGAAGCCGACAGACUGGUUCGGAUCUCGGAGUACGAGAAGAUGAAGCGGCAGAGGAUGCAGAUCAAGGAGGAAAACCGGCAGGAGAUGAUAAAGAAGUGGAACGACUGGCAGGAGAAACGUGCCGCAAAGAAGGCUGAGAAGAAGGAGAGGAAGGAGGAGAAGAAGAAGAGAGAUCAGGCAGAGAAGGAGGCUUAAAGAGGAAGAACAAAACAGAUAAACCCAGUCAAGCUCAGCCAAGCUACACUGAAAAAGAAAAUCAUUUUUUUACAUGAAAAUAUUUUGUAUCGGUUGUAAUAAAGUUGUAUACUCAUGCUGAACA
rnacentral:lncRNA from 1 species